rnacentral:rRNA from 1 species
AUCGCCGACGCCAGAUUCCUUUCUUCGCCCUCUUCUCCGACGCCGCCGCCCCGCAAAACAAACGAAGACCCCGGCGGCUCGAAAAAACAAAAACAAACCAACCGCCGCCCUCGGCUCGGACGAGACGACCCGCUGAACUUAAGCAUAUCGCUAAGCGGAGGAAAAGAAACCAACCGGGAUUCCCUUAGUAACGGCGAGUGAACCGGGAGAAGCCCAACGCCGAAUCCCGUCGCAAGUAAAAGGCUUCGGGACGUGUGGCGCAUGGGUCGAAGGCAGCCGUUCGUUUUCGUCUCGCGUAGUUCGGAGUUCCCUCGAUCGGGGCCGCCCGCGGCGGGUGCCAGGCCCAUUCGGUGCGGACGGCGAGCGACGGCCUUCGAUCCGAGAGUCGGGUUGCUUGGGAACGCAGCCCAAAUCGGGUGGUAAGCUCCAUCCAAGGCUAAAUACCGGGACGAGUCCGAUAGUCGACAAGUACCGUGAGGGAAAGUUGAAAAGAACUUUGGAGAGAGAGUUCAAGAGAACGUGAAACCGCCCAGGGGUAAACGGGUGGGACCGCUCACCGCGAUCGCGGGGGGACUCAGUCCGGUGCUGCCCAGGCUCGAGCCCAAACUCGAUGUGAACUCGAACAGGCCGUCUCGCGGAUGGUCGUCGUCGUGUCCGCGGGGGACUCGUUUUCCCCCGCGGGCCAGCUUUUGCGCCCGCGUCGCCGACGAAGGAGACGGGCCGCGUGGAUAGCGGGAAGGGAAACGCGGUGACGGUGGCUGCGGGCGGUGGGGAGACUCGUUUUUCCUUUCGCUCGUCAUCCGUCGCCGCCGCUUCUUCUUUCCUCCCGCUCCCUCUGCGCGCGACUCCGCUGCACCCGUCCUCUUCUCGCCGCUCGGCAAUCUAUGGCGCGGGCGCUUCGGCGCGACUUCCGCACGGCCGGCACCGGACGCACUUCCCCUCCGGUCCGUCGUCGCGACCCGUUCCCGGCGUGCAGGUCGAACGCGCGGGUUUUUUCCGUAGGCGGCAGGCGCUUCUGAAAACCCUCCCCGUCGUCAGGCGGGGGGGGCCACCAGCCGUCGGGCCCGCGAAUCGUGACUGCCCCCUUCUGCCGGGGACGGAGGAAUCUGACGCGAUCCGUUACACGUGGCGAGCCGGUCCGUCUUUAAUCUCGUCGGACGUCGCGCGCGGGGGCGAAAGCCUCCCCUCGGCGCCCCACCGUCUCGGGCGUGCGCGCGAGAAGAGACGGGAGAGGACCGGCGCGGCCUCGCCGUCACGGCACCUCGUCGACGUUCGGUGUUCUGCGGGGGCGACCCCGCCAGAGCCCGUUCCGUCCGGCGUGGUCGCUCGGCGACGCCCCCUUCUACGGCCGCCCGCCACCCCGGGUCAGCGACGUGCAUCGGCAACCCACCCGACCCGUCUUGAAACACGGACCGAGGAGUCCUGGCCGUUCGCGAGUCGUAGGGGCCCCCUCUGACUAACCCCGAAGGCGUAGCGAAAGCGAGAGAGCGUGUCGGAGGGCGUCGAUCGGGAGAGGUGUCGUGGCGAAGUGGUCCGGGAGUCGUCGGGUGGGGGGGGAGUGCGCGGUCCUCGCGGUCCGUCUCUCUCUCUCUCUAUCUCGCCUCGCCCGCCUCCGAGCCGUGCCCGAUCCCGCCGGCGCGGUGUCUUCCGCCUUCCGCCGUCGCUGCCGCGGUGCCCGCGCUUUUCCCGGCCUUCGGGCCGGGAGAGGGAAGGCUCGCGGCUGGCGCGCGGUCGUUUUCCCUCCUCCCCUAGCCGGGGACAGGUGCCUUGGGAAUCGCGGGGGCAUCAGCUUCCAUCCUCCGUCCGCCCAUCGGUGAGAUCCCGCGGCUUGAACUAGUCCUAUUUUGUCGUCGAGUUUAGGCACUGCGCGCGGGCGCAUCACCCCCGGGUCGGUUUCCCCUUUUCACGAGUACGACUCGGCCGACUCUGGCGUAGCGAGCGACCAGGGACCCGAAAGAUGGCGAUCCACGCCCGGUCGGGAUGAAGCCAGAGGAAACUCUGGUGGAAGUCCGAAGCGCCUCUGACGUGCAAAUCGAUCGUCGGAACCGGGUGUAGGGGCGAAAGACCAAUCGAGCCGUCUAGUAGCUGGUUCCCUCCGAAGUUUCCCUCAGGAUAGCUGGCGCUCGAUCGUCGCAAUUCCAUCCGGUAAAGCGAACGAUUGGAGGCCCCGGGGCCGUUCACGGCCUCGACCUACUCUCGAACUCGGAACGGGUGGAACGGGCCGACUCUCCCGAACGACGGAGCCGACCCCCAUUUCCGCGCGCGUGCGCGCGGAAGCGAAUGCGAGUGCCAAGUGGGCCACUUUUGGUAAGCAGAACUGGCGCUGUGGGAUGAACCAAACGUCCGGCUAAGGUGCCUAACGCGACGCCCAUGAGAUCCCCGAAAGGGUGUCGGUCGAUAUAGACAGCAGGACGGUGGCCACGGAAGUCGGAAUCCGCUAAGGAGUGUGUAACAACUCACCUGCCGAAUCGACCGGCCCCGAAAAUGGAUGGCGCUGGAGCGACGGWCCGAUGCCGGACCGUCGCGGCGAGGAGCGAUGAUUCGCGCCGAAACGAUGCCGCGACGAGUAGGAGGGCGCCGCGGCGAGCACGGAAGCCUAGGGCGCGAGCCCGGGUGGAGCCGACCGCGGGUGCAGAUCUCGGUGGUAGUAGCAAAUAUUCGAACGAGACCUUCGAAGACCGAAGUGGAGAAGGGUUCCGUGCCAACGGCGGUCGAGCACGGGUCAGUCGGUCCUAAGACGCGGGCGAAAGUCUUCCCGAAAGGCGCCGGAUCCGUGAUGAGAGACGUUUUUCGUUUUUUGAGGGGAACGACGACGGGGAAGCGCUCUCUUCUCCGUUCUUCUUUUCUUCCUCGAAAACAAAAGAACCGAAACAUGAGCGGCCGGCCUCCCGUCGAAAGGGAAUCGGGUUAAUAUUCCCGAACCCGGACUCGGAGAGGGCCCGGGGGUGGCGACGUCGUCGGCAGCAAUGUCGGCGGCGCCCGUCGCUUCCCGGGCGAAACCGCGGUGACGCAAGCGAGCCCGGAGACGUCGCCGGGAGCCCCGGGAAGAGUUCUCUCUUCUUCGUAAAGGACCAUGUCCGUGGAAUCGGCUCGUCCGGAGAUACGGAAAAGGUACCUGUAGAGCGCCGCGGCUCGGGCGGCGUCCGGUGCGCUUUCGGCGGCCCUGGAAAAUCCGGGUCCGGUUUUCGCAGCUCUCGAGUCGGUCCGUACCCACCAUCCGCAGCAGGUCUCCAAGGUGUACAGCCUCUCGUCGAUGGCAUCAAUGUAGGUAAGGGAAGUCGGCAAAAUGGAUCCGUACCUUCGGAAGAAGGAUUGGCUCCGAGGACCGGGUCGGUCGGGCCGUGCCCGCGCGAAGCGAGGAACCGGUACGGGGCUGUAGCGUUCGCUCCGUUCGCGCUUUGCGGCGCAGGCAUAGGGGCCGCGGCGGUCCGUGUGCGGCGGCGUCCGGUGCGGUCGCGGUAGCGGGGCGGGGAAAGCGAUACGGGUGGGAGCUGGCGGUCGGGCGGCAGGGGCGCGGCGUCGACCAAAAACGGCGCGGGACCGUCGGCGGGCUUCGGUCAGCGGCGGGGUCGCGGCGCUUCGCUUCCGGGACGGGGUGUCGGCGGGUGGUCUCGCGGCCGCUCGUCGCACGUCUCCGUCCCCGCUCAGAAAAGGGGGUGAGGCGCGCGGCGGCUUCGUCAUAGUCGUCGUCUGUCGGCGCCCGCGUCGCGGCGUCCUCCGCUCCUGCGCUGUCCACGCUGCUCCCUCUCUUUUCUUCCGUCUCGUCCGCGGCCGGUCAACGCCACGGCGUCGUCGUCUCGGGAUCAUCCGCCCGCGGUACCGCCUCGUCGCUACCGGCGCGUCGGGUGGCGAGCAAAACGGCUCCUCGCCCGGGUCUUCGUGGAGCGCCACGGCUUCCAGCCCCUCUUCGGGUGAAGGCGGGUGCCGCCCUCGCGCGGCGUCCGUCCCUCUUCGCCCGUUGCUCAGCGUCUCUCUCGGCGUGGGGGCGUUCGUCCGGCAGCGAACGGUCAACUCGGAACUGGUACGGACCGGGGGAAUCCGACUGUCUAAUUAAAACAAAGCAUCGUGUGGCCGGUCGACCCGUACAGACACGAUGUGAUUUCUGCCCAGUGCUCUGAAUGUCAAAGUGAAGAAAUUCAACCAAGCGCGGGUAAACGGCGGGAGUAACUAUGACUCUCUUAAGGUAGCCAAAUGCCUCGUCAUCUAAUUAGUGACGCGCAUGAACGGAUCAACGAGAUUCCCACUGUCCCUACCUACUAUCUAGCGAAACCACAGCCAAGGGAACGGGCUUGGAACGAUCGGCGGGGAAAGAAGACCCUGUUGAGCUUGACUCUAGUCCGACUCUGUGAGGAGACACGGGAGGUGUAGCAUAGGCGGGAGGCGUGCCUUCGUCGGCGUCGGUCGCGCCGCGGUCGGGGUCUUCCGCGGGGCGGUGUGCGGGGCGUCGCGUGUCGGGCGGGGGUCGGGGUCUCUGGCUUGCGUUGCGYCGGCGUUGCGGGGGCGGCGGUUUCGUGCCGUCGU